rnacentral:rRNA from 1 species
AUGCACGCUGGCGGCGUGCCUAAUACCUGCAAGUCGAGCGAACGGACGAGAAGCUUGCUUCUCUGAUGUUAGCGGCGGACGGGUGAGUAACACGUGGAUAACCUACCUAUAAGACUGGGAUAACUUCGGGAAACCGGAGCUAAUACCGGAUAAUAUUUUGAACCGCAUGGUUCAAAAGUGAAAGACGGUCUUGCUGUCACUUAUAGAUGGAUCCGCGCUGCAUUAGCUAGUUGGUAAGGUAACGGCUUACCAAGGCAACGAUGCAUAGCCGACCUGAGAGGGUGAUCGGCCACACUGGAACUGAGACACGGUCCAGACUCCUACGGGAGGCAGCAGUAGGGAAUCUUCCGCAAUGGGCGAAAGCCUGACGGAGCAACGCCGCGUGAGUGAUGAAGGUCUUCGGAUCGUAAAACUCUGUUAUUAGGGAAGAACAUAUGUGUAAGUAACUGUGCACAUCUUGACGGUACCUAAUCAGAAAGCCACGGCUAACUACGUG